rnacentral:rRNA from 1 species
GACAGAGGGUGCAAACGUUGUUCGGAAUUACUGGGCGUAAAGCGCGUGUAGGCUGCUCGGAAAGUCGGAUGUGAAAGCCCUGGGCUCAACCUAGGAAGUGCAUUCGAAACUUCCGAGCUGGAGUGCUGGAGAGGAAGGCGGAAUUCUCGGUGUAGAGGUGAAAUUCGUAGAUAUCGAGAGGAACACCGGUGGCGAAGGCGGCCUUCUGGACAGCGACUGACGCUGAGGCGCGAAGGCGUGGGGAGCGAACGGG